GGGAGUGUUGGGGUGGAUAGAUGUCAGUACAUAUGUAGGUUGGUAGGGGACAGACAUGGGGAGUGUCAGGAUGGAUAGAUGUCAGUACAUAUGUAGGUUGGUAGGGGACAUACAGACAAAUCUGACAUGGGGAAUGUUGGGGUGGAUUGAUGUCAGUACAUAUGUAGGUUGGUAGGGGACAUACAGACAAAUCUGACAUGGGGAGUGUUGGGGUGGAUAGAUGUCAGUACAUAUGUAGGUUGGUAGGGGACAGACAAAUCUGACAUGGGGAGUGUUGGGGUGGAUAGAUGUCAGUACAUAUGUAGGUUGGUAGGGGACAUACAGACAAAUCUGACAUGGGGAGUGUUGGGGUGGAUAGAUGUCAGUACAUAUGUAGGUUGGUAGGGGACAGACAAAUCUGACAUGGGGAGUGUUGGGGUGGAUAGAUGUCAGUACAUAUGUAGGUUGGUAGGGGACAUACAGACAAAUCUGACAUGGGGAGUGUCAGGGUGGAUAGAUGUCAGUACAUAUGU